UACGGAGGGUGCAAGCGUUGUUCGGAUUUACUGGGCGUAAAGCGCGCGCAGGUGGGUGGACAAGUCGGAAGUGAAAUCUUGAGGCUCAACCUCGAGGCUGCUCCCGAAACUGUUCGCCUAGGGACUGGUUAGAGGCUGGUAGAAUUCCCGGUGUAGCGGUGAAAUGCGCAGAUAUCAGGAGGAACACCCGUAGCGAAGGCGGCACUCUGGGCCGGAACUGACGCUGAGGAGCGAAAGCCAGGGGAGGCAAACGGG
rnacentral:rRNA from 1 species